GAGGUCAAACAGCUUGUGGGUGUGUAUGGUCUGAUUGGGCAAUGACAGUAUGUGGAUUCAACCUCACACUCACACACACAAACUUAAACACUUGCAUGGAUUAAUACAUGUAUAUUUAUACAUUUUAAAGCAUUAUAUUUCAGUGUAAAGACAUUUAGACAAAGCUAAGUAAAGUUAAUUCUUGAGGGGUGUCAUCUGGUGGAGCAGACUAACAGUUAUAUGAACAACCCCGAUUGGUUGCACAUCAUAUGACUCAUAAUGUACGUGCAAAUGCAUGAAUCAUUAAAGUAUUUAAUUUGUCAAUUACAGGAUUAUAAUUAAAGUUAAUUAUAGGAUUUUUUCCUUAAAUUCUGAGGAAUUGUUGACGGUGCCAGAUUUUCCUUUUAUUCUAUAUUCGGUCAUUCCUGUAAAAAUUACUGAAUGAUUUGUUUUAUUCAUUUAAAGUACUGAAAAUAAGCUUUCGGAUGAAUCUGGGUUGUUUAUUGGGUUAAAAAUCGCAUCGGUGAGAAAUGAAGCAAUGUCGUUGCUGUCGUCACUGUGAAUGUUCCAGCGUCUCGAGUUGGUGUAAAAUAAACCCAACCUCCCAACCUGAAAUUAUGUUGCUUCCUGUUUGGGAUGGUUUAUAUUUUUGAAUGUGCAAUCUGUGCUGCGUACCGUGACACGGCUGUCCAAAAAAAAACUUCGAGCCAAAUGUCUGGAAAAAUAUAUGUCAGGUUUUUUUGUUUUUGAAAUUCCGAGUGCUACAGUGUGGUGCCCGGUGCAGCCGCCCACAGAUGCAGCAAAAACCCCAAAGCCACAAUGUCAUCUGUGCUCAACAGGAUACUAGUGAAACUGUAAGACGGGCUGAGAAACAAGACAAACAGAAAGGACAAAGACCGAAACAGAGCAACAGUCAGUAAACAAAGACAUUCUCCUCACCUCGGAGCACAGCCCCAGCGCCCGGUCCAGACUGGAGCGGUACUGCCCCAUGCGCUGAGAGAAAUCCCGGUAGCGUCUGUCCACGGUAGACACCCACCGCUUCAGCUCAGCCACAUGGACAUGCCCUUUUUCCACCAGACUGUCAGCAAGCUGGAUCAACAGCUUCACCCUCUCCUGGGUUUGCUGCAGGUGCUCGGUUGUGGCUGGUGACCCCUGACAUGCUCACGUUAUUGCGGUGGAUGUACUUCAGAAAGACCUCAGCGUUCCGGCGAGCUAAAGUGCAGGCCUGUGCGCAAAACCAACACACAACGGGUGUUUGCUGAUGAGAGGAGUCACGUGAUCCGUGUCUGACGUCGAGCCGAAUUUGUCGUGCGCCCCGCACCAGUCCUCCUCCCUCCUGUACUCCUGCUCCAGACUCUCCAGCACGUUACACACCU